AACGAACGCUGGCGGCAUGCCUAACACAUGCAAGUCGAACGAGAUCUUUCGGGGUCUAGUGGCGCACGGGUGCGUAACGCGGGGGAAUCUGCGUUGGGGUCUGGAAUAACUCAGUGAAAUUUGAGCUAAUACCAUAUGAAACCUUCGGACCAAAGAUUUAUCGCCCUGGGAUGAGCCCGAGUAGGAUUAGUUAGUUGGUGGGGUAAGGGGCUACCAAGGCGACGAUUCUUAGCUGGUCUGAGAGGAUGAUCAGCCACACUGGGACUGAGACACGGCCCAGACUCCUACGGGAGGCAGCAGUGGGGAAUAUAGGACAAUGGGGGCAAGCCUGAUCCAGCAAUGCCGGGUGAGUGAUGAAGGCCUUAGGGUUGUAAAGCUCUUUUACCCGGGAUGAUAAUGACAGUACCGGGAGAAUAAGCCCCGGCUAACUCCGUG
rnacentral:rRNA from 1 species